GACAGAGGGGGCAAGCGUUGCUCGGAAUUACUGGGCGUAAAGGGCGCGUAGGCGGGAUGGCAAGUCGAGUGUGAAAUCCCACGGCUCAACCGUGGAAGUGCACUCGAAACUGCAGGGCUAGAGUCCUGGAGAGGAAGGUGGAAUGCUUGGUGUAGAGGUGAAAUUCGUAGAUAUCAAGCGGAACACCGGUGGCGAAGGCGGCCUUCUGGACAGUGACUGAUGCUGAGACGCGAAAGCGUGGGGAGCAAACAGG
rnacentral:rRNA from 1 species